AUUUUUCUCCCUGCAUGGUUCCUUACUCAGUCACAUCAAACUAAACCCUUCAAUCUCAGUCACAUCAAACUAAACCCUUCAAUCGCUCAAUCAAUUUCUUGAUAAUUUCUUGAUCUCGUCCUAUCUUUUACGUUGGAACUUCUAGUGUAUGAUUACUUGGUUAAGAGAAAAUUGACUGAUACUGCUAGCAGCUUCGUGAGGGAAGCUAAUUUUCAGCCUACUAAUUUUGACGACGGUCCUCCAGAAGGUCGUCUGGCACAGAUAUGGAACGUUAUGCAUGAUACGGUCACUAGCAUUGGAGAGCCUAGGGAACAAGGUACUGCAAACUAUUCAUUGCCAAAUGCUGGGGCUUCAGUAGCACAACAGGAGGGGGGUCAACCUACAUUGGAGCCUCAACUUGGCACUUGAGAACUACAAUUUUCUUGACGAUUUUCCCAUUACAGCAAUAGACACAAGCUUGAACUUGGAUGACAUUCAUGAAGAAUUUCCUGAAGUAGACUCAGCCUUUUUGGAUGAGGGUGAUAUUCCUGACAUUGCCGCCACAGCUGAGCAAGAGGAGUCUCCAGAGUCUGCUGAGCAAGAAGAGUCUGCAGAGUCGGCUGAGCAAGAAGAGUCUUCAGAGUCUGCUGAGCAAGAAGAGUCUUCAGAGUCUGCUGAGCAAGAAGAGUCUUCAGAGUCUGCUGAGCAAGAAGAGUCUCCAGAGCCUCCUUCACGACCUAAGCGGGCUAUAGUGAGGCCGGCCCGAUACAGGGGCUAUGUUUGUUGAAUUUUUGUAUUCUGACAAGAAGCAUUUGUGAAUGAUGUUUGUUGUUUAGGAAAAUAUUGUUUGUUGUAUAUUUGUAGAAGAUAUUCUGACUAGAAGCAUUUGUGAUGGAUUGUUGUUUAGGAAAAUAAUGUUUGUUGAAUUUUUGUAGAAGAUAUUAUGACUAGAAGCAUUUGUGAUGGAUUGUUGUUUAGGAAAAUAAUGUUUGUUGAAUUUUUGUAGAGGAUAU